rnacentral:lncRNA from 1 species
CACCGCUCUCCAAGGACUCUCGAGCAGCUCCAUCUACAGAUUCACAUGGAGAAGAAUUAAGGGUUCCUGCCAAUCACCAGCACCACUUUGCCAGCCUUGUAAGUGGGCCACCUUGGAAUUGGAGCCUCCAGUUCCUACUGACAUCUGACUGCAACAUCAUGAGAGACCCUGAGUUUGAACCACCCAGCUGAGCUGCUUCUGAGCUAACCCACUGAAACCACAGUUGGCAUCUGUGUGAAGAUGUGAAUGGAGGAGGCAGAGUAGGCAGUGAGUGCCGCAGCCACAGCUUGUGUUCUCUGCAGCCCUGGCACAGAAGAUAGGAACACUCAUGGGGGAUGCGGCCACUGUGAUGUCUUCCCACACAAGAAGUGCCAAGUGCUUUUCUCAUGCUUUUCUGGAUUGUCCCAUGGUGGACGAGUCAGCAGGAGUGAGAUGGAGCAGCACAGUAGAGGGGUACCUGGCAAGGCCCGGAGGGAGGACCCCCUGCCCCAAACAUUUCAAUGAUAUCAGGUGACAGCCGUGAUCCUCUUAGCACCUGCUCUGUUUUGUCCCAGGCCAGGAUAUCGUUGUACAUAUUCUCAGCUAAGUGAGCACCAAUAGAGGAGAGGGAGAGUCUCAUGGAAGUUCCUUCUAAGCCUUUGGCUCUUUUUACCUUCAACAAGGUGUGCCACCUCUUUGAUCCAGCAAGUGGGAAGAACAGUCCCGGCCUCUUUGCACACAAGACCGUGAUACCAAUGCACCAUCACAGGCCCCACAGGGGAGCUGUCCGCUUCCCCACACAGCUGCUAGGGGCUCUUUUGCAUGUUCCCAACCUUUCCUGCCUUUAUCUGAUAUUCGUUCCUUAGAUCCUGGGAUGAGGAGGUGGACCAGCAGAAGGUGGGCUUGUGAAGGCAGCCCGGGGUCCAAAUCCUCCUGGCUCUUCAGCUUAGCGGGGUUGCUUAGACUCAGUGGUGUGCUGGAGCAGGCUCCUACCAGCUAGAAAGAACCAGUUCAAUACGUCUCUUCUCAACUCCAUGUUCAGAGUUGUCAGAGAACCAAUUGUUAAAUAUUUACUGGCACUCCACUGCUUAGAUUUUACCAGUGCUUGCAGUGCUAACCAGGAGCUCAUCCCUGGAGGAGAGGCAGAGAAUGUGUACUCCCAGAUGCAGCCAGCUUCCAGAAGAAGAGGUAGGAGCCAAGCAGAGCAUGCCCACAUCAAUCUUCCAGCAUUUAAUGGCCAUAGAAGUUACUGAACCUCCCUUGGAUGGAUAGAAGAUGGCAUUAUCUUUCUUAAAUAUGAUACCUCUUAUCUUUUUGUUCCCUUGACACUUGAGGAGGGAGGCCAAGGGUUGAUCAUGCAAGCAAGUUUGUGCAUUUUGCACAUUUAUUAAGUUAUGCUUUUGAGGAAAUUAAAAGAUCACAAGGGCUUCAA